ACGGAAGGCAGCAGUGGGGAAUAUUGCACAAUGGGGGAAACCCUGAUGCAGCGACGCCGCGUGAAGGAAGAAGUAUUUCGGUAUGUAAACUUCUAUCAGCAGGGAAGAUAAUGACGGUACCUGACUAAGAAGCUCCGGCUAAAUACGUGCCAGCAGCCGCGGUAAUACGUAUGGAGCAAGCGUUAUCCGGAUUUACUGGGUGUAAAGGGUGCGCAGGUGGUUUGGCAAGUCAGAAGUGAAAACCCGGGGCUCAACUCCGUGGAUUGCUUUUGAAACUGUCGAACUAGAGUCCAGGAGAGGUAAGCGGAAGUCCUAGGGUAGCGGUGAAAUGCGUAGAUAUUAGGAGGAGCACCAGUGGCGAAGGCGGCUUACUGGACUGGUACGGACACUGAGGCACGAAAGCGUGGGGAGCAAACAGGAUUAGAUACCC
rnacentral:rRNA from 1 species